CAUGCAGGCGGUUAAACAAGUAGGAUGUGAAAUCCCCGGGCUCAACCUGGGAACUGCAUUCUAAACUGUUUAACUAGAGUAUUGCAGGGGGAGACGGAAUUCCAGGUGUAGCGGUGGAAUGCGUAGAUAUCUGGAAGAACACCAAAGGCGAAGGCAGUCUCCUGGGCAAAUACUGACGCUCAUAUGCGAAAGCGUGGGUAGCAAACA
rnacentral:rRNA from 1 species